rnacentral:lncRNA from 1 species
CUCUCCUACCUUCUGCUUCUGCCGGUGUUUGCUCUUUCCUCUGCCCGCGGACCGCCACAUCCAUCUCUCAGGCACUUCCACUGCUCACCCCCACUCAUCCCUUUCUCCUCCCCAGAACCCACAGUGGCUUAGGACGAGCUCCUGCACAGCGGCCUGUUUCCCAAUUGCAUCGUGUAUCUCUUUGCCUCUCUUGGCUCAGCCAUGGCCCCAGCCCCAGGCCAUCCAAGGGGCAGCCUGGUGAGGUUUCUUCAACUUUGCUAAUGACUUGACCUACAGUCUUAAGUCAAGAAGGUGUCGCUCUCCUUUGUGAUGGCUGGACGCACAGGAGCUGUGGUCAGGAUGGGGCUAGAGGAGCUGAAAUCCCAGGGCAACAAGGGUAUUUAAAAACACAUCGCAGGAGAAACAGCUAAAGAGUCUUGGAACCAGGAAUCAUAAGCUGUUUGAUGGGAUGAACUAUCUUGGGAGUGAUGAGGUCCCCAUCACUGAAAGUAUUCAAGCAGAGAGAGUCAUGGAAUUAGGAGACGGAAGAGCAUCAGACACUGAAUGAAGUCUGCACUACAUGAGAUGAAGAACCCUUCCAGCCCUGAGGCCGAGCAGCCACUUCUCUGGAGCAGGCUGGCCCAUCUAUGUCCAGGAGGCCAGCCCCAGGCUAGCUUCUGAGCACGGGGAGCUAAGUCCUUCGCCUUCCAGAGACUGCACAAAGUGUGUGCCACCUCCACAGAACCCUCCUCAUCCACCCGAGAACUCUUCCUCACCUGACCUAAAGCUCUUCAUUUCAUACCACCUUUCAAGCGAAUUAAGGAUUAAUUGCCAGCAGCAAUCUCUGUCUUUGUUUGUUUUCUCUAAUGGAAAACCUUUCUCUCGGGAGGGUAAGGUUAUCAGUCAUUCACAGCUCAGUUGUGCUGUGUUUGAUUAGACUGGACGGCAAAGCUGAGUCCUGUUUCGGCUCUGUGCGAUCCUGGGCCCCUUGGAGCCUGUUUUCUCAUCUAUGAAAUGGGAGUAAUAAUAGUGCUUAUUGCACAGUUGUUUUAAGAACUAAAAAUUUAAAUUGCCUAGAAUGUUAUACAAACAUAAGCUGCCAUAUUUUGGAAAAAUGAGCCAAGAUCAGUGGUGCCAAGGGAAGAAUGGGCAGAGGUGAGCUGUGGGCAGCCGUGGAGGAUGGUCCACGGUGUGGCUGCCAGAGGGCAUCGGGGGCCAGGCAACUCCAGAAAGGAGCUAGGAAUGUUAGAGAAAACUGCACUAACAGCCAGCAUGCGUGAAGAACUGAUUCAUACUACACCGUGGAUGAACCUCAAGAACAUUAUUCUCGGCAAAAGCAGACAGACACAAAAGGUCACAUAGCAAAUGCUUCCGUUGAUAUGAAAUGUCCAGCACUGGCAAAUCCACAGAGACAGAAAGUAGAUUAGUAAUAGCCAGCGGCUGCAGACAGGGAAGGAGGGGAGUGAUGACUUAAUGGGUACAGGGAUUUUAUUUUGGGGUAAUGAAGAUAUUUUGGAAUGAGACAGAGCUGGUGGCUGCAUAGAGCACUAUGAAAGUGCUAAUUGCCAUUGAAUUAUUCACUUCAAAACAGUUAAUUUAACGCUAUGUGAAUUUCACCUCAAUAAAAAAGGUACAAAAUAAAAAGCCUGUUUUCCUGGACCCAUGCUCUGUGGAGUGGGCAACCAGCAGGUAGAGACAAGAAGGAAAAUGGGAUGUCAUGACCCCACUUGAAGGCAAGGUCACUAAGGCUCAGAGAGGACCAG